CAGGGAAUGAGCACAGCCGGAGUUUACACCCUAGUAAAGAAAAUAAUUACUUUAAAAUAUGAUAGCGUAAAAUGUUAAAAGCAAUAGUUUGCCUUGAUCGAGCUCCAAACUGGCACCCAGAAGUGAUUUGUUUAAAAAUCUAACUUUAAGGAAUGAAUGGAAGAUCACAUAAUAUUACAAUUGUUGGUAAUGUUCUAGCCAUUCAGUUGAAUAAAUACAGAAGGAGAGGCACACACAUCCUUUUCUUAGAAUGUGUAAGACCACUUCCUUGGCUGAUAUGUAACGUGUCUAGUAGAUAACACUUUGCCCACCUUGGGCAGGAACAUGAAUAUAUAAGGCUCUCCUGAUUACAAGAGAUGGGGAGAAAUGGGUUAGGUAAGGCUCUGAAGGAGGUAGCAAGUCACUGGCACAAGGAAAUCAGUGACCUAAAUUUUAGGGUGACUACCAAUUUGGUAACUAGAUUAGUUAUGUGGUAAAAAUUGAUUCUCAUCAAUGAACUCAAUGGGUACAGUGAUUAUAAUAAAUAAAAAGUUGUCAA
rnacentral:lncRNA from 1 species